GUCCGCACGGUAAACGAUGGAUGCCCGCUAUUCGGCCGAAUGGUUGAGUGGCCAAGCGAAAGCAUUAAGCAUCCCACCUGGGGAGUACGCCGGCAACGGUGAAACUCAAAGGAAUUGACGGGGGCCCGCACAAGCGGAGGAACAUGUGGUUUAAUUCGAUGAUACGCGAGGAACCUUACCCGGGCUUGAAUUGCAGAUGAACGAUCCAGAGAUGGUGAGGCCCUUCGGGGCAUCUGUGAAGGUGCUGCAUGGUUGUCGU
rnacentral:rRNA from 1 species